rnacentral:rRNA from 1 species
GAUGAACGCUAGCGGCAGGCCUAACACAUGCAAGUCGAGGGGGAGGUUACUUUCGGGUGACUGAGACCGGCGUACGGGUGCGUAACGCGUAUACAAUCUGCCUUUCACUGGGGGAUAGCCCGAAGAAAUUUGGAUUAAUACCCCAUAGUAUAGGAGCACGGCAUCGUGAUACUAUUAAAGCUACGGUGGUGAAAGAUGAGUAUGCGUUCUAUUAGCUAGUUGGAGAGGUAACGGCUCCCCAAGGCGAUGAUAGAUAGGGGUUCUGAGAGGGAUGUCCCCCACACUGGUACUGAGAUACGGACCAGACUCCUACGGGAGGCAGCAGUGAGGAAUAUUGGACAAUGGUCGGAAGACUGAUCCAGCCAUGCCGCGUGCAGGAUGAAGGUCUUAUGGAUUGUAAACUGCUUUUGUAAGGGAAGAAUAAGGACUACGUGUAGUUUGAUGACGGUACCUUAUGAAUAAGCAUCGGCUAACUCCGUGCCAGCAGCCGCGGUAAUACGGAGGAUGCGAGCGUUAUCCGGAAUCAUUGGGUUUAAAGGGUCUGUAGGCGGGCUUGUAAGUCAGAGGUGAAAGCGCUCAGCUCAACUGAGCAACUGCCUUUGAAACUGUUGGUCUUGAAUGGUUGUGAAGUAGUUGGAAUGUGUAGUGUAGCGGUGAAAUGCUUAGAUAUUACACAGAACACCGAUAGCGAAAGCAUAUUACUAACAAUUAAUUGACGCUGAUGGACGAAAGCGUGGGGAGCGAACAGGAUUAGAUACCCUGGUAGUCCACGCCGUAAACGAUGGAUACUAGCUGUUUGGA